GACGAACGCUGGCGGCGUGCUUAACACAUGCAAGUCGAACGGGGAAUCAGCAAUGAUUUCUAGUGGCGAACGGGUGAGUAACGCGUAGAUAACCUGCCUUCUAGAUGGGGACAACACUCCGAAAGGAGUGCUAAUACCGAAUGUGGCAUAGCAGUUACCUAACCGCUAUGUUAAAGGUGGCCUCUUUAUAUGCUACCGCUAGAAGAUGGGUCUGCGUCUGAUUAGCUAGUUGGUGAGGUAACAGCUCACCAAGGCGACGAUCAGUAGCCGGUCUGAGAGGAUGAACGGCCACACUGGAACUGAGACACGGUCCAGACUCCUACGGGAGGCAGCAGUGGGGAAUCUUCCGCAAUGGACGAAAGUCUGACGGAGCAACGCCGCGUGGGUGAUGAAGGUUUUCGGAUCGUAAAACCCUGUCAAUGAGGACGAAUGGUUGUCUUGCAAAUAGUGGGAUAACAUGACGGUACUCAAGGAGGAAAGCCACGGCUAACU
rnacentral:rRNA from 1 species